rnacentral:rRNA from 1 species
UACGUAGGGUGCGAGCGUUGUCCGGACUUACUGGGCGUAAAGAGCUCGUAGGUGGUUUGUCGCGUUGUCCGUGAAAACUCACAGCUUAACUGUGGGCGUGCGGGCGAUACGGGCAGACUGGAGUACUGCAGGGGAGACUGGAAUUCCUGGUGUAGCGGUGAAAUGCGCAGAUAUCAGGAGGAACACCGGUGGCGAAGGCGGGUCUCUGGGCCGAUACUGACGCUGAGGCGCGAAAGCUAGGGGAGCAAACGGG